CUCUGAUUCCCACAGAAUCACACCGCUUGUUUUUUUUUUUUAACUGUGUGUCUGUCCUGUCUGUGUGUACCUGUGGGACUGUCACUUUAGCAGCAUCUGGGACUUAUUUUUAUUUCCUGGAGUUGCUCACACACUCUUUUACUUCAUCCUGUCCUCGCCAACACAGACCUGCUGUGACUGUCAGCCUGCCACCGGUGGACUAUGCCCCCCUCAGUCAGCUGAGGGAGGGGGCUCCGCACUGCUCAGGCUCCCAUCUGGAGAAGGCUUGGGCUGAAAUCAAAGAGUGAGACGGUUAGUGAGGGUGUGUGUCAGUACGAGGAGCUCUCCCAGACAACAUGGCGAGACAGCAGGUUAUUGCUGAAGAUGCAAGCUUCAACUGUCUCACCUGUGACCAACACUACAGUUCCAUCUAACACAACCACUGUCACCAAGUCCAAAGAACAAAUACUCAUCCAGAGUUCUGGGGCUAUGAUUGCUGUCAUUGUAAUAGGCAUCAUCAUCAUUCUCGCCCUUCUACUGAUCAUCCUGAAGACGUACAACAGGCGGACACAUGCAUCCAGAGUCCUGGGAGCCAGGGGGGGCUCCAAACCUCGGCCGAAGAUGUCCCAAUCCACAGUUCAGAGCAACUUGCCGCUAAACACCAUGGGAGUCAGCUCAGUGUCUGGCAGCCUCAGCAACUUCAACUCAUCCUCAGAGAACGGCUUCCGGCUGCCCAGGGUGGAGCUCAGCAGCGUGGAGGGGAAUCACAUAGAGCAGUUCAGCACCACCAGCGGCUCCACUGUAGUCACCAUACAUGACGUUCCAUCGUUAGGAAACACAUAGCACCAACAAGGACGGGUGGUUUCGUCUCAAAGCAGACAAGGACUGACGGGUCGUCUUUGUCCCUGACCACAUACUGUGCUGACUGAAUCCUGUGGAAAUGUAUUGUUGUCACUGGCGAUUCUCCAACAACUGAGCCACUGCUGGUGAUGGAAAACAAGAUGGUGUAAGGAAAUAUACUUUAUGAACAAACAGUGGAUGUCAUGAAGGAUGUUGCGUGAUGGUUGAGUGGAGACCUUGUUUUGAAGUAAUAGCUUUUUGGCUAAAGUCAGUGUUCACAGUAUGUAAGGCUGUUUAGGUGUGUACUGUUUGCUCAUAGUAAUUGUGAAGAAAUGUGUAGUAAAGACUAAUGUCUGAACACUGAUGGUCUUAAGUAUGUACAUUUCUGAAUUUUUUGACAACCAUAUAGAUUUGUUAGUAAACAUGAAGCCAGUCUAAACUUCAGAGGACAAAGACUGACCGAUAGAUCAUGUUGCAGGUUUAUUUUCAUCAGUUAUUCCUUAUUUAUCUGACUUACUCAGAUUAGUUUUUCUUUUUACAGCCCAUCAUUAAAAUAUCAAUGCAUAUCUUUUAGAAGACCAUAUUUUGUGAAGCAUCUGCCAGCCUAACUCACUGAAGUGAAUCCUUGCUAAUUUGACACCAAAGUAUUUUGCACUUUAUUUUUGUUCCUUCCUGUAUUUGUUUGUCUGUGG
rnacentral:lncRNA from 1 species